rnacentral:lncRNA from 1 species
CCGGCAAGGGAGCGGCGGGGAGCGGGGAAAACCAACUCCGACACGUCGGAAGGCUCGAAUUCAGGGCGAAACCUCUCCCCCGAGGCUCCCUCGGUGUGAAGCAGAUGGAUCCUGGAGCCCAUCCCAGGCUGUAACUCUUGUUCAGGAGCCAGACAGGAAAACUGCAGGCAAACCAGACCCACAUCUCCCAACCUGGACAUCUGCAUGCCAGCCUGGGAGUCACUCAGGUUACAUCACCCUGCAG